rnacentral:rRNA from 1 species
AGAGUUUGAUCCUGGCUCAGAACGAACGCUGGCGGCAUGCCUAACACAUGCAAGUCGAACGAGACCUUCGGGUCUAGUGGCGCACGGGUGCGUAACGCGUGGGAAUCUGCCCUUAGGUACGGAAUAACAGUUAGAAAUGACUGCUAAUACCGUAUGAUGACUUCGGUCCAAAGAUUUAUCGCCUAAGGAUGAGCCCGCGUAGGAUUAGCUAGUUGGUGAGGUAAAGGCUCACCAAGGCGACGAUCCUUAGCUGGUCUGAGAGGAUGAUCAGCCACACUGGGACUGAGACACGGCCCAGACUCCUACGGGAGGCAGCAGUGGGGAAUAUUGGACAAUGGGCGAAAGCCUGAUCCAGCAAUGCCGCGUGAGUGAAGAAGGCCUUCGGGUUGUAAAGCUCUUUUACCCGGGAUGAUAAUGACAGUACCGGGAGAAUAAGCCCCGGCUAACUCCGUGCCAGCAGCCGCGGUAAUACGGAGGGGGCUAGCGUUGUUCGGAUUUACUGGGCGUAAAGCGUACGUAGGCGGCUUUGUAAGUUAGAGGUGAAAGCCCAGGGCUCAACCCUGGAAUAGCCUUUAAGACUGCAUCGCUUGAACGUC